AGAGAGCCAGUCUGUCUUUUGAAGCUUUGAAGCCAGGCAUUGACUUGUCUCUAGCUAUGGAGGUCCUAGAUGAGAUCUUCCAAUACAAGGCUAUUUCGUCUACAAUGAAAAUCUGUUU
rnacentral:miRNA from 1 species